GGAAGCAACUUUCCCUAGGGCAGGGUACACAAUCAUCGGCCUAACUUUUUGACUUCAUGGUUUGAAUCUUGGUUUGGGGGAUUCAUACAAGUAAACCUGUCGUCGGUGUGAUUACGUGACUGAUUCGAAAAAUGGAUUUCAUCCUCCUACAUUCCCGAAAUGUCAUCAUGACAUUAGCUUUCGCUGUCGGCUCCACAGUUGUUACUAUUCGCCCAUACAACAGUACUACGGAAAGCAGUGCGAACUCUUACGCUGGGGUUCAGGGUUUUACGCCGUCCUCUUCGGCGCACUCGGAGUUGCGCUGCUCCUGUUCUGCGUUUGUGUCGUGGCUAUCGUGGUGCUUCGGAGAAGGAGACGGCGGAGACAUUCACUGGACGAGGACUACUUCAACUUUAUAAAUACAGGACUUGGCUCUGGAGGGCUACCAGGGAGAAGUGGACUAUAUGAGUUGGAUGACAGCGUCACCUUUGCAAAUGAAUUUCCCCCUGGAGUGUUUAGCCCCAGUCUGGAGUAUGUAGACACGUCCAUGAAUGUGACAAUCCGACGUCCAGAACUGAUCCUUUCCUGAUGGGUAAUACUUUUGAAAUAUGUUUAAAGUUUCAUUUUUAACAAUGUUAGCCACAGCGCAUCCUAAUCAAUUAUUAUAUGCCC